CCCUUAGAUGUUCUGGGCCGCACGCGCGCUACACUGUCGGAUUCAGCGAGUCUUAACCUUAACCGAAAGGUUUGGGUAAUCUUUUGAAAGUCCGACGUGAUGGGGAUUGAUCAUUGCAAUUAUUGAUCAUGAACGAGGAAUUCCUAGUAAGCGCGAGUCAUCAGCUCGCGUUGAUUACGUCCCUGCCCUUUGUACACACCGCCCGUCGCUACUACCGAUUGAAUGGUUUAGUGAGAUCUUCGGAUUGGCGCCAUCGUGGCUUCGCGGUCAUGACGGAUGGCCGAAAAGUUGAUCAAACUUGAUCAUUUAGAGGAAGUAAAAGUCGUAACA
rnacentral:rRNA from 1 species